CGUCUCCGGGAGUUCAUGUUGGACUAUUCAUUUUCUGGUUCUUCCGAAUUCGCCGCCAAUCAUUGAAGAAACUGCACUAUAUAAACUCUCUGCACCUGCCACUAAUGGCAGCUGUGAUUUGGACUGAACAGCUCGCCACUUCUGACCUUGGUGUUUUGAAACUUUGAAGCUUGGUUCUUUUGUGUGCUUACCUGCUUGAUGGGUACGUGGUGACCAUGGCAGAGAAAAUGUAGAAGUUGCACAGUUGAUGUUUACUGUCCGUGGCACAGGAAGAAGCAGUUUCAUUUCAAGAAAGAGUGUGCACAAUCAACGAGCGAUUAUGGAGAGACCUCUGGGUGGCUGUUACAUGCGUUUACAAUGAUGUUCUUCACAACUUUGAGGAAGAGGGCUUUCUUGACAUUUCAAAUGCUGCACACCUCUUCUGCUGCCAUUACGUGUUUCUGCCUCGCCUGCAGGAGGAUUUGAAUACAUUUUGCAGUGGUUGGGACAAUCCACUGCAAACAGAAACCAACAUGAGCCCCAACCAGCUGUGGGUGUUGGGUCACACACACACCACCCUGUUCCUGAACCAGAAAACACAUAUGGUGUCCAGAUUCCAGGCAUUGAGUGGGAGGAAAGUGGCCUUUCUUUCCAGGACCAUUCGACCAUUGUCAUUGCAAACAGACUGUCCUUUGACUGAGGAACAAAUGGCAGGUUUACAGGAAGUAGUUAAUCCAAGAGCUGCAUCCCAGUCCUUAGGCUCCGACAUCUACCUUGCUGCUGUUCAGUUUUGUGAGCAAUUCCUUUAAAUGGAAGGGCAACAUAAACGCAACUGUACAUAAUGCUAUGUUGGUAACUUGUUGUAAACAUUGAGGAAAAAUUUUUCUUAGCUUGCAAUGUUUGACUUUCAAAAUUGAAAAUAUGCAACUUUAUGUAUACCAUUCAAAUGUGUUAAGUAAAACUGAAAGUGGGAACAUGUUGAUUUGUGACUAAAUAAAACAGCAAAGUAAGUUUA